ACUCCUGUCAGUCUUCCGGAUGGAGGAGGGGCGAGUCUCCUCUAAACAUCCUCUGGUUCAUCGAAGUGUCAUCACUGUCACUUGGAGCCGCCACGCAGUGACGUGAACUUCUUCGCGCGACACCGGGAAAUCCCCAAGAGCCGAGAGAGAAAAAAAAAGAGCGAGCGGAGGUCUCUUUAAAUCGGGACUUCCUCUGUGUGCUGACAGAGGAAGACAGUGAGUCCAGAUAAACAACAACACGGAGAAGCUGCUUACACCGGGUUCGGCGGUCUACUUCUUUUUUUUUUUUACGGCCUUGGAAAACAAGAGGUGAGCGCGUGCGAAUCCACAUUCAACGACCGCGUGGACUUCUCCCCUGACGCCCCCCUCCUUCCUCCCCAUUUCACUCCGUUUCCAUACAUUCAGUUGCGGAAGUGAGAAGACCCCCCCAACACAAGGGACAAAACGCGGCCUUUGGCGACACCAAGCGGCCAUCUGGGAGAACGACAUGUACGGAGCUUCAGGAAUCCCAGAGCUCAUCCCGCCCAGCGUGCCCCCCCGUCAGCCCGGCCCGGCGGGGCAGUUCAACCCCGGACACCCGCAGGUGAACGGCCACGAUGGGGGCGCUAACCCUCAGCGACUGGGGCAGAGGGCGCCCAAACUGGGGCAGAUCGGCCGGUCCAAGAAAGUGGACCUGGGGGAUGAAGACCUGGACGACAUCAUGAACAACAACGGCCAGUGCGCAGUAUUGCUGUCCCCCAUCUCCUAGACUCCGACAGGAAGUGCCAGUAGGAGCCAGACACUCCACCCUUCCGUCAGCACUCUUGACCUCGGUCCUGUCCAGAGUCCCGCAGGAGCUCUCAAGCAGCCUGCUGACUGUACAUAAUUCACCUUCACUCGGACUGUGAGUGAGGUUUCCCUCGUUUUUUACCCCAGUAGACCCGCUACAGCCUGUUUUCAUGGACGAACUGAACAAGGGCUACUGAGCCGGAGCUGCACUCAUCUGAAGGUCGGAGCUGUGGGGUCGUCUGCUUGAUGCGGACGUACUUAUUUGUAGAGGAACUCUUCACACAAAUCAAUCUUUCUGCAAUGAUCCUGCUGGUGGGUUCGCAGCUAAAUCUACUGCUAUUAUUUUUUGCUAGAAAUGCACUUGGUGUAUUUUUCUGACUUGGUUCUGAGCGCAUGCUGCAUGCUGGUUUGGUGUAGUCUGUCCCUGCAGGACAAUCCUUUGCUUAAAAAAACACAAAGCUGGUGUCUUGCUUUUAAAGGGCUACAGUUUUUUUUUUUUUGGUGGACUCUGCAGAAUCACUAAUUUUCUCUCUCUCUCAGAGUUCAUAUUUGAAAAUGUCCCAAACCACAAGUUUAUGGAGCUUUCUGAGAAAACUCUCCAAUGCCAAAUGAAGGUCGAUGCUUUAUAAUUUAUACAGAUGGUUGCACAAAUGUUGGUAUUUAUUUCUAAAGCACUGAAGUACUUUGGUCGGAAUCGGACGGAUUGAAGGACCGUUGGGUUGGCGUGGCCAUCAACCAGCAGUACCUGACGAGCCACGCCCGCCAUUGGGCUUUGAAGGUGGCACGUCGUCCGUACUGCGUUUCGUGUCUUGCAGCUGUUUCUCGCUCGAUCGGCCGUGUGACUCGUGGUUGCCUUUCUGCAUGGAACUGGUGCCGUUUUCAGCGCGUCUCUCUGGAAAUAAAACCUUUGGAUCUCGC